rnacentral:rRNA from 1 species
UACGGAGGGUGCGAGCGUUGUCCGGAAUCACUGGGCGUAAAGGGCGCGUAGGCGGCUCAUGAAGGCUGUGGUGAAAGUCCGGGGCUCAACCUCGGAUCGGCCGUGGCGACUCGUGGGCUGGAGCACUGUAGAGGCGGGUGGAAUUCCGGGUGUAGCAGUGAAAUGCGUAGAGAUGUGGAGGAACACCGAUGGCGAAGGCAGCCCCCUGGGUUAACACUGACGCUCAGGCACGAAAGCGUGGGGAGCAAACAGG